AGCAAGACAAAACAGCCGUUACUGAACAAUACACUUGGAAGAGAUCUUUAAACGGCCACUACUCCUGACACUGACUUCUCCUGUUUUAGUUCCUUCAGAUGAGUAACAUCUGCCUCUACUUUUGUUGCACAUUUAAAUACUAAACAGAAGAGGGAAAGAUGUAUAAAGAAGUACUUAAAAUAACUGCUUCUAAUAGCCUUUAAUACAGACAUUUUGGGCUUUUGAACUUCUGAGGUCAACAAGGACAAACAAUACCACUAGUGUCUCUUUGCAAAAAAGCUGGGUUUGCUGUCUGCAAGCAAUGUACAGAGGGAUCUAUAAGCAAGACGCAUCGAAUGAGCUGGGACACUGAUUAAAUACCAUUCUUGAAAGCAGCAGAACAAACUAACAGGAAGAAAUGCCCAGUGCUAUCAAAACUGUUACACUGUAACAAUAAAAUCUAAACCAAAUCAGUGGCAUUUACUAAAUUGCAGCCACCAUUUCAAACAGACAAAACCUGAAAUACAUAUUUUAACAAAACAGAAACA